rnacentral:rRNA from 1 species
AUUGAACGCUGGCGGCAUGCCUUACACAUGCAAGUCGAACGGCAGCACGGGAGCAAUCCUGGUGGCGAGUGGCGAACGGGUGAGUAAAGUAUCGGAACGUGCCCAGUCGUGGGGGAUAACGUAGCGAAAGUUACGCUAAUACCGCAUACGAUCUAUGGAUGAAAGCGGGGGAUCGCAAGACCUCGCGCGAUUGGAGCGGCCGAUAUCAGAUUAGGUAGUUGGUGGGGUAAAGGCUCACCAAGCCGAAGAUCUGUAGCUGGUCUGAGAGGACGACCAGCCACACUGGGACUGAGACACGGCCCAGACUCCUACGGGAGGCAGUAGUGGGGAAUUUUGGACAAUGGGCGAAAGCCUGAUCCAGCCAUGCCGCGUGCAGGAUGAAGGCCUUCGGGUUGUAAACUGCUUUUGUACGGAACGAAAAGGUUUGGCCUAAUAAGCUGAGCUCAUGACGGUACCGUAAGAAUAAGCACCGGCUAACUACGUGCCAGCCGCCGCGGUAA